UACGAAGGGGGCUAGCGUUGCUCGGAAUCACUGGGCGUAAAGCGCACGUAGGCGGGUCGUUAAGUCGGGGGUGAAAUCCUGGAGCUCAACUCCAGAACUGCCUUCGAUACUGGCGACCUUGAGUCCGGGAGAGGUGAGUGGAAUUCCUAGUGUAGAGGUGAAAUUCGUAGAUAUUAGGAAGAACACCAGUGGCGAAGGCGGCUCACUGGCCCGGUACUGACGCUGAG
rnacentral:rRNA from 1 species